GGAAUGCGUAGAUAUAUGGAAGAACACCAGUGGCGAAGGCGGCUCUCUGGUCUGCAACUGACGCUGAGGCUCGAAAGCAUGGGUAGCGAACAGGAUUAGAUACCCUGGUAGUCCAUGCCGUAAACGAUGAGUGCUAAGUGUUGGGAGGUUUCCGCCUCUCAGUGCUGCAGCUAACGCAUUAAGCACUCCGCCUGGGGAGUACGACCGCAAGGUUGAAACUCAAAGGAAUUGACGGGGGCCCGCACAAGCGGUGGAGCAUGUGGUUUAAUUCGAAGCAACGCGAAGAACCUUACCAGGUCUUGACAUCUAGUGCCAUUUGUAGAGAUACAAAGUUCCCUUCGGGGACGCUAAGACAGGUGGUGCAUGGCUGUCGUCAGCUCGUGUCGUGAGAUGUUGGGUUAAGUCCCGCAACGAGCGCAACCCUUGUUAUUAGUUGCCAGCAUUAAGUUGGGCACUCUAAUGAGACUGCCGGUGACAAACCGGAGGAAGGUGGGGAUGACGUCAAGUCAUCAUGCCCCUUAUGACCUGGGCUACACACGUGCUACAAUGGGCAGUACAACGAGAAGCGAGCCUGCGAAGGCAAGCGAAUCUCUGAAAGCUGUUCUCAGUUCGGACUGCAGUCUGCAACUCGACUGCACGAAGCUGGAAUCGCUAGUAAUCGCGGAUCAGCACGCCGCGGUGAAUACGUUCCCGGGCCUUGUACACACCGCCCGUCACACCAUGGGAGUCUGCAAUGCCCAAAGCCGGUGGCCUAACCUUCGGGAAGGAGCCGUCUAAGGCAGGGCAGAUGACUGGGGUGAAGUCGUAACAAGGUAGCCGUAGGAGAACCUGCGGCUGGAUCACCUCCUUUCUAAGGAA
rnacentral:rRNA from 1 species